rnacentral:rRNA from 1 species
UAAAGGUAUUCCGGUAGACGAUGGGGAUGCGUUCCAUUAGAUAGUAGGCGGGGUAACGGCCCACCUAGUCUUCGAUGGAUAGGGGUUCUGAGAGGAAGGUCCCCCACAUUGGAACUGAGACACGGUCCAAACUCCUACGGGAGGCAGCAGUGAGGAAUAUUGGUCAAUGGGCGAGAGCCUGAACCAGCCAAGUAGCGUGAAGGAUGACUGCCCUAUGGGUUGUAAACUUCUUUUAUAAAGGAAUAAAGUCGGGUAUGGAUACCCGUUUGCAUGUACUUUAUGAAUAAGGAUCGGCUAACUCCGUGCCAGCAGCCGCGGUAAUACGGAGGAUCCGAGCGUUAUCCGGAUUUAUUGGGUUUAAAGGGAGCGUAGAUGGAUGUUUAAGUCAGUUGUGAAAGUUUGCGGCUCAACCGUAAAAUUGCAGUUGAUACUGGAUAUCUUGAGUGCAGUUGAGGCAGGCGGAAUUCGUGGUGUAGCGGUGAAAUGCUUAGAUAUCACGAAGAACUCCGAUUGCGAAGGCAGCCUGCUAAGCUGCAACUGACAUUGAGGCUCGAAAGUGUGGGUAUCAAACAGGAUUAGAUACCCUGGUAGU